rnacentral:lncRNA from 1 species
UUAUAAUACAAGUCAUGUACCCUUUUAUCCCAAUAUAUAAGGGGUUUUCCUGCAUAUAGUCCAUCACCUGUACAUGUAUAUAUAUAUCGGCCUAUGGCCUCAUGGGAAUACAAGUUGCUUUCCUAACAUGGUAUUAGAGCCCUAGGUUCUUUUUUUCGCACGCGCAACUCGUGUUUCUGUCUCCUCCUCGUCUGCUCCCGCCGUCCCCGUCGAAACCUCUCGAUCUCGCCAGGAGCGGCUCUGCCAGGAGAGGCUCCCUCCUCCAGAUCGCGCCAGGAGCAGGCCGGUCUCCCCCGGCUCCUCCCGUUCCCGCUCCAUCCAGGAGCGGCUCCUCCCGCUCCCGCUCCAGCUAGGAGCGGCUCCCGUCAGGACUCCAGCAGGCUGCAUCGCUGCCAGGAGCGGCUCCUCCCGCUCCAGCCAGGAGCGGCUCCCGUUAGGACUCCAGCAGGCCGCAUCGCUGCCAGGAGCGGCUCCUCCCGCUCCAGCCAGGAGCGGCUCCCGUCAGAACUCCAGCAGGCCGCAUCGCAUCAGGACGCCUCGCCUCGCUGUUUCCGACCUGGAAUCCACCCGCCGCUGCUGCUUUAAAAUCACUGCCGCUGCUGUUCCUGCUUCACAAUCUCCACUCCCCUUGCGAUUUCUCCUGAGGAUCGCCCUUGCUGCUGAACUCGCCUGAUCCAGCGCUGCUCUCGUCCUCCCGUUGCAGCGCCCGCCAGCCGCCGCCCUGAUCUCGUUUUGAUCUCGAUUGGAUCCGGCUCUCUGGUUCUAAAAAAAAAAAGAAAAAAAAAUGUCUGCUUCAUCCGGCUAUGUUGCUGUUCCUCGUUGUCCGGUGAUCUUUGAUGGCACUAACUACACCGAGUUCAUUGGCUUCAUGCGCAUUCACAUGCGUGGCAUCCGCCUAUGGGGUUUUCUUUCCGGCGAGGUCUGCUGUCCGCCAUGUCCGGUUCCUCCCGUGGCUCCCACUCCGCCGAUCCCACCGGCUCUUCCUGCGGAUGCUUCUCAGGCCGCAAAGGAUGCGACUCAGCUUGCUGAUGAGGCCGCUGUGAGUGCUUAUGAUAAGAAGGUCUUGGCUUAUGAGGAGGCUCUUCAGGUGUAUCGUGAUGCUCUGUCCGUUUACACCCAGUGGCUUGAUGAUGAUGCUCGUGCUGCCGCUGUUCUCACUGCUAGUGUUCUGCCUCAGUUUGCUUCUGAGUUUCUGGGUCUUCCUACUGUAUUUGAGAUGUGGACCCGCCUUCGUCAGCGCUAUGAGCCCUCUGGUGAUGCCUUAUACCUCUCUGUGGUCCGUCAGGAGCAUGCUCUUCAUCAGGGUGACUCUAUUGUUGAUGACUUCUAUGCACAGAGUUCUGCUAUCUGGCGCCAGCUUGAUUCUCUCCGCAGUGCUGGUUGUCGUACUUGCCCCUGUUGCCAGGCUGUUCAGGCCGACUUGGAGUUUCAUCGCGUCUACGAGUUCCUGUCUCGGCUCCGUAAGGAGUUUGAGCCCCGGCGUGCUCAGUUGUUUGCUCGUGGCCGUAUUUCUCUCAUGGAGGCGCUUUCUGAGAUUCGUGCUGAGGAGACUCGCUUACGUGGUGCUGGUUUGCUGGAGGUUCCCUCGGUGCUCGCUGCUCGGACUUUUUCUACGCCACCUGCUGCAUCGACCCCUUCUCGCUCGAGUGCUCCGCCGCUCCUGCCCACUCCUUCUGGCGGCUCAGGUCGCCCCCGUCCACAUUGUAACUACUGCAACAAUGAUGGUCACAUUGAGCCCCACGGCUACACGAAGAAGAAACACUUGCGCAAGGCGCGGUCAUCAUCUACAGCGACUUCGUCACCUACCUCGACAGCUUCAGCCAUCGCUUUCACUGAGCAGGAUAUCCUGAGACUUAAGCGUCUGCUCGCUGCUUCAGGUUCUUCCUCAACGGGUACUGCUGGUUCUGUGACUGAGGCUUCCCGCACUGAGCAACCACCUUCUACACAGUCAGGUACAUCCCCAUGGGUUCUGGACUCUGGAGCUUCCUUUCAUAUGACUUCUAAUUCUUCCACUCUGUCCUCUCUUCGUUCGCUUGAUUCUCCUGUUCAUGUCCUCACUGCUGAUGGUACUCCCCUUCCUGUCGUUAGUAGAGGCACUCUUACCACUCCUUAUUCUGUUCCCGAUGUUGCUCAUGUUCCUCGACUUACCAUGAAUUUGUUUUCCGCUGGUCAACUUGCUGAUUCUGGUUGUCGUGUCAUCCUUGAUCUUGACUCUUGUUCUGUCCAGGACCGUCGCACGCACACUCUGGUUGGGGCUGGUCCUCGCCGCCGUGAUUCUGAGGGUCUUUGGGAGUUGGACUGGCUUCAUGUUCCUUCCGCUGGUCAUUCUAUCGCCAGUUCUUCCGCUUUGGUCGCCUCGGCUACUGGUUCUUUCCAGCAGUGGCAUCAUCGACUUGGUCAUCUGUGUGGUUCUCGUUUGUCGUCGUUAGUUCGUCGAGGUCUUCUGGGGUCUGUCUCAGGAGAUGCCUCCUUAGAGUGUCAGGGUUGUCGUCUUGGCAAGCAGAUUCAGUUACCAUAUCCACAUAGUGAGUCAGUGUCUAAGCGUCCUUUUGAUUUAGUCCAUUCCGAUGUAUGGGGUCCGGCUCCCUUCGCUUCGAAAGGGGGUCAUAAAUACUAUAUUAUUUUCAUCGAUGACUUCUCUCGUUACACAUGGCUUUAUUUCAUGACUUCUCGUAGUGAGGUGUUGUCCAUUUAUAAGCGUUUUGCUGCCAUGGUUCAUACUCAGUUCUCUUCUCCCAUUCGUGUGUUUCGUGCUGACUCCGCUGGCGAGUAUAUCUCUAAGAUGUUGCGUGGUGUUCUUGCUGAGCAAGGGACUCUCUCUCAAUUCUCUUGUCCUGGUGCUCAUGCUCAGAAUGGCGUGGCUGAGCGCAAGCAUCGUCAUCUUCUUGAGACGGCUCGUGCAUUGAUGAUUGCUGCCUCUCUCCCGCCUCAUUUUUGGGUUGAGGCUGUCUCCACCUCCACCUAUCUCAUCAAUUUCCAGCCUUCCGCUGCUCUACAGGGUGGUGUUCCCUUCGAGCGUCUUUUUGAUCGGUCUCCCGAUUAUUCGACGCUUCGCUUGUUUGGUUGUGUUUGCUAUGUUCUUCUUGCCCCCCGCGAACGCACCAAACUGACCGCUCAGUCUGUUGAGUGUGUCUUCUUAGGCUAUAGUGAUGAGCAUAAGGGCUAUCGUUGUUGGGAUCCUAUCGGUCGUCGGAUACGUAUCUCUCGGGAUGUGACUUUUGAUGAGUCUCGUCCCUUCUACCCACGCCCAUCUUCCUCGACUUUUUCAGUGGAGGAUAUCUCUUUUCUCACUUUUCCUGACACGCCUAUCACACUCGUCGAGCCUUUGCCUAUUCAUUCCGCUCCCUCUGCUUCUCCACCUCCAGUCGAUUUGUCGCCACCAUCUUCCACAGUCUCCUCGUCUAGCAUGUCACCGGAUUCUACACCUUCAUCUCCGGUGACUUCUUCGUCGCCACUCUCCGAUUCUACUUUAGCGAUUCCUCCUUCCAUUGUUCCAUCUUUUACUCAGUGUUACACUCGUCGUUCACAUUCUGUGGAUGCCUCUCUGGAUGUGCCGUCAUCCUCGUCUCAGCCUACUUAUGGCUUGCGUUCUCGUCCUCGUCCGCCUGUUGAUCGCUUAGGAUUUUCCACCGCUGGAGCUGCUGUUCUUGAGCCGACUACUUAUCAUCAGGCUGUUGUUCAACCUGAAUGGCAGUUUGCGAUGGCUGAGGAGAUUGCUGCUCUUGAACGCACAGGUACGUGGGAUCUUGUUUCCCCUCCUCCUGGAGUCCGUCCCAUCACUUGUAAGUGGGUCUACAAGGUAAAGACUCGCUCCGAUGGUUCUCUUGAGCGUCACAAAGCUCGUCUUGUGGCUCGUGGUUUUCAGCAGNAGUUGCUUUCCUAACAGAAGGCACGGUUAAAUUUACGUGCAUUUCCACAAUAGACAAGAUUUAAGCCGCGUUGCAUUUAGUCCUAACAUCUAAUUAGUACUCGGUUGUACUACUUCUAUAUGCA